rnacentral:rRNA from 1 species
UACGAAGGGGGCUAGCGUUGUUCGGAAUCACUGGGCGUAAAGGGCGCGUAGGCGGCUUUGUAAGUCGGGGGUGAAAGCCUGUGGCUCAACCACAGAAUUGCCUUCGAUACUGCAUGGCUUGAGACCGGAAGAGGUAAGUGGAACUGCGAGUGUAGAGGUGAAAUUCAUAGAUAUUCGCAAGAACACCAGUGGCGAAGGCGGCUUACUGGUCCGGUUCUGACGCUGAGGCGCGAAAGCGUGGGGAGCAAACAGG